rnacentral:rRNA from 1 species
AGUGAACGCUGGCGGUAGGCCUAACACAUGCAAGUCGGACGGCAGCACAGGAGAGCUUGCUCUCUGGGUGGCGAGUGGCGGACGGGUGAGGAAUACAUCGGAAUCUACUCUGUCGUGGGGGAUAACGUAGGGAAACUUACGCUAAUACCGCAUACGAACUACGGGGGAAAGCAGGGGACCUUCGGGCCUUGCGCGAUUGAAUGAGCCCAGGUAGGAUUAGUUAGUUGGCGGGGUCAAGGCCAACCAAGGCGACGAUCCGUAGCUGGUCUGAGAGGAUGAUCAGCCACACUGGAACUGAGACACGGUCCAGACUCCUACGGGAGGCAGCAGUGGGGAAUAUUGGACAAUGGGCGCAAGCCUGAUCCAGCCAUACCGCGUGGGUGAAGAAGGCCUUCGGGUUGUAAAGCCCUCUUGUUGGGAAAGAAAUCCAGCUGGCUAAUACCCGGUUGGGAUGACGGUACCCAAAGAAUAAGCACCGGCUAACUUCGUGCCAGCCGCCGCGGUAA